rnacentral:rRNA from 1 species
GACGAACGCUGGCGGCGUGCUUAACACAUGCAAGUCGAACGAUGAUGCCCAGCUUGCUGGGUGGAUUAGUGGCGAACGGGUGAGUAACACGUGAGUAACCUGCCCCUGACUCUGGGAUAAGCGUUGGAAACGACGUCUAAUACUGGAUAUGAUCACUGGCGGCAUGGUCUGGUGGUGGAAAGAUUUCUUGGUUGGGGAUGGACUCGCGGCCUAUCAGCUUGUUGGUGAGGUAAUGGCUCACCAAGGCGACGACGGGUAGCCGGCCUGAGAGGGUGACCGGCCACACUGGGACUGAGACACGGCCCAGACUCCUACGGGAGGCAGCAGUGGGGAAUAUUGCACAAUGGGCGCAAGCCUGAUGCAGCAACGCCGCGUGAGGGAUGACGGCCUUCGGGUUGUAAACCUCUUUUAGUAGGGAAGAAGCGAAAGUGACGGUACCUGCAGAAAAAGCACCGGCUAACUACGUGCCAGCCGCCGCAGUAAAAC